rnacentral:rRNA from 1 species
UGGAGGCAGCAGUGGGGAAUAUUGGGCAAUGGGCGCAAGCCUGACCCAGCCACGCCGCGUGAGUGAUGAAGGCCUUCGGGUCGUAAAGCUCUGUGGGGAGGGACGAAACGGCACGACCUAACACGUCGGGUCCUGACGGUACCUCCUUAGCAAGCACCGGCUAACUCCGUGCCAGCAGCCGCGGUAAUACGGAGGGUGCAAACGUUGCUCGGAAUCAUUGGGCGUAAAGCGCACGUAGGCGGUCCGGCCAGUCGGGUGUGAAAGCCCUCGGCUUAACCGAGGAAGAGCAUUCGAAACUACCGGGCUUGAGUACUGGAGAGGGUCGCGGAAUUCCCGGUGUAGAGGUGAAAUUCGUAGAUAUCGGGAGGAACACCAGUGGCGAAGGCGGCGACCUGGACAGAUACUGACGCUGAGGUGCGAAAGCGUGGGGAGCAAACAGGAUUAGAUACCCCGGUAGC